rnacentral:lncRNA from 1 species
ACACAAAGGCAGCUAUUCCAUACUCGACGCUCUUCCUAUCUGUUCACAAUAACAAGGUUCUUAUAAUCUUUCAACUAUGAGAUAUAAAUUUCCUUCAGGUUUCGUACCAAUGCCUCGCACGUGCGUGCGUGACGGUCUUUAACGGUGAUGCUUCAGCAUUGUG